UACGAAGGGUGCAAACGUUGCUCGGAAUUAUUGGGCCUAAAGCAUCCGUAGCCGGUUCUGCAAGUCCCCCGUUAAAUCCAGCUGCUCAACAGAUGGGCCGCGGAGGAUACUACAGAGCUAGGAGGCAGGAGAGACAAGCGGUACUCAGUGGGUAGGGGUAAAAUCCGUUGAUCCAUUGAAGACCACCAGUGGCGAAGGCGGCUUGCCAGAAUGCGCUCGACGGUGAGGGAUGAAAGCUGGGGGGAGCAAACCGG
rnacentral:rRNA from 1 species